AGCUUUUUGCUCCAAUCAUUGCGAUGCUCACUCUCAAAUAGCUUCAUAAACAUCUCCAUCUUCUUCAAUUUGUUUGCCUCUUCUGUCUCUUGGCAAUUUUUUCCAAGUUUUCUAACUCUUUCUCUUUCAAUUGCUUGAAAUCAUUUCACUCUUCAUUAACGACUUCCAAGCAUGCAUCACCCUUACCUUUUUUUUAACUUUCUUUUUAGACGCAUCCCUCCCCAUGGGACGAGCACUAGAUCCUACAGAGUUUGAGUCACUUGCAUUAGGAUUGUGAGCUCUCUUAGAUCCACUGCUUCCAGACCCCGUUUUUCCUCCUACCUGACUACUAUAG